ACCGCACCGCAGUUUUACUUCCUCCUGCACCGCGAUCGACAGGAGCCGCGACAGGAGUCCGCCAUCGAUUAACACGCGAGAUCGCGGCUCAGCCGCGCUUCUCUGGUCCAUCCGUGUUCGUGUGACGAGUAAGCGACCGACAAGUGAGUGUCUGGAACAAUGGAGCAGUCAACGGUCAAUGGAGAGUCACAGUGAACAGUGAUGAACAGCGAUGAACAGUGUCGAUAGCGUAUUCGUGACCUGUCGUUUAAUUGCAGUUUCUUUACUCGAGAUGCGAUAUGCAUGUAUCAAAGCUUAGAAGGAGAGAAACGGAGGGAAUGUAAAAAGUGCUUGAAGUGUUGGAAGUGCAAUUUACAUGGCGCAAAGUGCAAAGAUACGAAUGACGCCGCGCUCGCGGAAUCGUGAUUAACCGUGCUUCUCCGGUGGAUUCGUGCAACGAAUUAUCCAUGAGGUGGUGUUGAGGAGGCGAGCAAUAAGUGACCGAACAGACGAGUGUCUCUGCAGUCGAUAAGAAGUCAGAUGAAUUGACGGCGUCGAUAGAAAACUGAACCGCAGGUGAGCAUCCCCUCGAAGUUGACGGGAAAGAACAAGUAAAUCGACGAUAGUGUCAGUAGUGAAUCGACGACGACCAAAACUGUGAGGAUUCCCUGAGAGGUGACACGAAGAACAGAUAAAUUGGCCAUUGACAACCCAGACAGCACACAUGUCCAAAACUGGGACAUAAGAUGUCUUUAAGAUAUCUUUAAGUUGACUUUAAGACGUCUGGACAUGAGAUGUCUUUAAGUUGUCUUAAAGAUGUCUUAAAGAUGUCUUAAAGACAUCUUAUGUCCCAGUUUUGGGCAUUGUGUUGUUUGGGAAUGGUAUCGGUAGUCAACGAUGAAUUGAACUACAUCAAUGAUAAACUGUGAUAUGUGAGCAUUUCUUCAGAGGUGACACGAGAGAAUAGAUGAAUUGGCCAUUGACAAUGGUAUCGGUAGUAUCAGUGAUUAGAGUCAACGAUUAAUUGGCACUACAUCGAAGACGAACCGUGAUAUGUGAGCAUUCCCUGAGAGAUGAUACGCAAGAACAAGUGAGUCGACAAUGAUACCAGUGGAUGAAUCGGCGCUACAUCGACGACAAACGAACGUCGUAGUGACUUAAAACAAGAAGCAUUGGAAAGGGAAAAUUACCGCGCCUCUGCUGAAUGUGAAAUCGUUCUCCCGUGGAAUAAGGAUCAUACAACGGCAUCAUGUGAGUACGAAAAACAUCAGUUUCUGUGUUUGCAUUGAAGUGAAUAUUAAUUGUUGAUCUAUGUUAAAAAUCAAAGGGACAUUUUAGUUUGGAUUUAUGACGCGCAGUUUAUGUCAGUCUCAUGUUUCUGGUCGGUAUGAGUUGCAAUUUACAAGACAAGCGGAAUUAUAAUAAUUAUUUUCUGUUUCGUAGUAAAUAAUUUUUGCCGUAACGUCGAAGUACAAAUAGCUAAUAAAUUUAACUUUGUUGGCAACAGCAUUAAUUUGUUCCCAUUUCAAUAAUAUAUCUCAAGUGCCAUAACUAUGUUUUUUGCUUCUACUUGCUAAUUUUUCUUCUGCGUAUAUAACAUUAUACACUUAUUAUUGUCUUUUGAUUUUAUACAUGAUCGUUUAUUGCGUUUUCUAUGUUAACGCUUAUAGAAAGUUUUAUUUCAGAAUUAUUUAAUAUGAGAGAAAACAUCUGAAAAAUAAAAAAU